rnacentral:rRNA from 1 species
UGGGGAAUAUUGCACAAUGGGCGCAAGCCUGAUGCAGCCAUGCCGCGUGUGUGAAGAAGGCCUUCGGGUUGUAAAGCACUUUCAGCGGGGAGGAAGGCGAUAAGGUUAAUAACCUUGUCGAUUGACGUUACCCGCAGAAGAAGCACCGGCUAACUCCGUGCCAGCAGCCGCGGUAAUACGGAGGGUGCAAGCGUUAAUCGGAAUUACUGGGCGUAAAGCGCACGCAGGCGGUCUGUCAAGUCGGAUGUGAAAUCCCCGGGCUCAACCUGGGAACUGCAUUCGAAACUGGUCAGCUAGAGUCUUGUAGAGGGGGGUAGAAUUCCAUGUGUAGCGGUGAAAUGCGUAGAGAUGUGGAGGAAUACCGGUGGCGAAGGCGGCCCCCUGGACAAAGACUGACGCUCAGGUGCGAAAGCGUGGGGAGCAAACAGG